rnacentral:rRNA from 1 species
AGGUUAAGCUAGUAAGAGCACACGGAGGAUGCCUAGGCGCCAGGAGCCGACGAAGGACGUGGCGAACGACGAAAUUGCCUCGGGGAGCUGUAAGCAAGCAUCGAUCCGGGGAUGUCCGAAUGGGGAAACCCGGCUGCUGUAAUAGGCAGUCACUCACACCUGAAUACAUAGGGUGUGA